GUCCCAUCUGCCCCUUUCUGGGCUUAGCAAAGUCAGGGCUGCUGACCCCAUCCCUCCUAGGGAGCCAAUUGAUGGCGCAGAGCACAAGGUAGCCAGGAGACAAAAGGUUCUGGAAGGAAGGCCAAGGACACUGGCAUGGAGCAGGCUGGCAGUGCCCUCAGCUGCUGGAGGAGUGAGAGCCCAGACUGCCUGUGUGGCCGUCAUGAGGGUCUUCACAAGCUGACCAGGACCCUUCAGCAGGUCCAAACUUGUAUGAAGCUACACAAGCAGCCACUCCUGCUGCCCCCAGGAGGAUACUACCCCCAGGUUGAGAACAAAGCCUUCAAAAACAGGAACUGCAUCUUCUCCCUCUUCAUAUUUCUCUGCAGAACUCCGCACACAGUAUGUCCUUAAUAAAUCCCAGCUGGAGGGAGCCCCACCUCAGGCUUUUCAGAAACACA
ensembl:lncRNA novel transcript, antisense to FKBP8